rnacentral:rRNA from 1 species
AGACCGAUAGCGAACAAGUAGAGUGAUCGAAAGAUGAAAAGCACUUUGAAAAGAGAGUUAAAAAGCACGUGAAAUUGUUGAAAGGGAAGCGCUUGCGACCAGACUCGCUCGCGGGGUUCAGCCGGCAUUCGUGCCGGUGUACUUCCCCGCGGGCGGGCCAACGUCGGUUUGGGCGGUCGGUCAAAGGCCCUCGGAAGGUAACGCCCCCAGGGGCGUCUUAUAGCCGAGGGUGCAAUGCGACCUGCCUAGACCGAGGAACGCGCUUCGGCUCGGACGUUGGCAUAAUGGUCGUAAGCGACCCGUCUUGAAACACGGACCAAG